CUAGAGUUCUGAUUUCUAUAAUCACAAAUAGCAAAAAAGAAGACUCUGAAAAUGCUAUUUCCAACAAUCUAGAUACUCAAAAUUUCCCUGCUUUGGGGUGGACAUCUACAAAAAGGGACCAUACUAUAUUGAGUGCGGAGAGAUGACAGAUGGUUGUUGGUGACAAAAAGUUUGGUGUGGUAUUGUAUGUACUAGUAGGGGGUCCGGGGAUUCUCCCCCAGAAAAUGUUUUGUAUUUUUCCACCCCUAGAACUGAAAUGUAAGCAUUUUCUGAAACAGAUUUUUGGAUAUACAACGUUACAUUGUGUGUUGAUAGACCGAAUCUGAUCAGUUAAGUGUAUUUGCAUGGUAUGUUUAUGUAAAUACCACAACUGGGUCACUCAGGGGGUAGCAAGCUUGUUAAACUUAGUGUGCCCGACUCCAAUGAUUGCGAGGCACUACCAUGGUUGGUGCCCAGACAAGUUCUUAAAAAAACACUGUGUUCAAAUCAUUUUGCUGUAUGAAGACGGGUCAUGGGUUAGGGUUAUGGUGGGACAAAUGUUGCAUUGCAAAGUAGUAACACAUAAUAUAUAUUUUUAAUCACAUAUGGUUGAAUCAUAUUCACCAGGGUAAAACAUCAUGAGCUAGAUUAAACAGAUUGUCCUAAUAUCUAAC